UCUCUCUCUCUCUCUCUCUCUCUGUCUUUUACAGACCAGAUCUGCAGGAUCCGCAGGUGUUGGAUUUACACCUCAUGUUAUAACAGUUAAAGCUGGAGAGGUAUGCAUUUUUUUUCUUUCAAAACUACAUGACUCGGUUCCAGCAUGAUUAGCAAGUUUACAUAUCGUUCUUAGAAAUUCUAAGUAUGCCCGGAAAGGAGCGCAUCUCCAUUAGUGAUGUCUACGAAAAGG